rnacentral:piRNA from 1 species
AAGAAUUUCAGCUUUGGGUGCUGACGG